UAGGGAAUCUUCCGCAAUGGGCGAAAGCUUGACGGAGCAACGCCGCGUGAGUGAUGAAGGUCUUCGGAUCGUAAAACUCUGUUAUUAGGGAAGAACAAAUGUGUAAGUAACUAUGCACGUCUUGACGGUACCUAAUCAGAAAGCCACGGCUAACUACGUGCCAGCAGCCGCGGUAAUACGUGGGUGGCAAGCGUUAUCCGGAAUUAUUGGGCGUAAAGCGCGCGUAGGCGGUUUUUUAAGUCUGAUGUGAAAGCCCACGGCUCAACCGUGGAGGGUCAUUGGAAACUGGAAAGCUUGAGUGCAGAAGAGGAAAGUGGAAUUCCAUGUGUAGCGGUGAAAUGCGCAGAGAUAUGGAGGAACACCAGUGGCGAAGGCGACUUUCUGGUCUGUAACUGACGCUGAUGUGCGAAAGCGUGGGGAUCAAACAGG
rnacentral:rRNA from 1 species